CACUCCUACGGGAGGCAGCAGUGGGGAAUUUUGGACAAUGGGCGAAAGCCUGAUCCAGCCAUGCCGCGUGCAGGAUGAAGGCCUUCGGGUUGUAAACUGCUUUUGUACGGAACGAAACGGCCUUUUCUAAUAAAGAGGGCUAAUGACGGUACCGUAAGAAUAAGCACCGGCUAACUACGUGCCAGCAGCCGCGGUAAUACGUAGGGUGCAAGCGUUAAUCGGAAUUACUGGGCGUAAAGCGUGCGCAGGCGGUUAUGUAAGACAGUUGUGAAAUCCCCGGGCUCAACCUGGGAACUGCAUCUGUGACUGCAUAGCUAGAGUACGGUAGAGGGGGAUGGAAUUCCGCGUGUAGCAGUGAAAUGCGUAGAUAUGCGGAGGAACACCGAUGGCGAAGGCAAUCCCCUGGACCUGUACUGACGCUCAUGCACGAAAGCGUGGGGAGCAAACAGGAUUAGAUACCCCUGUAGUCCCA
rnacentral:rRNA from 1 species